UACGAAGGGGGCUAGCGUUGUCCGGAAUUACUGGGCGUAAAGCGUGCGCAGGCGGUCUCUUAAGACAGAUGUGAAAUCCCCGGGCUUAACCUGGGAACUGCAUUUGUGACUGCACGGCUAGAGUACGGCAGAGGGGGAUGGAAUUCCGCGUGUAGCAGUGAAAUGCGUAGAUAUGCGGAGGAACACCAAUGGCGAAGGCAGUCCCCUGGGCCUGUACUGACGCUCAUGCACGAAAGCGUGGGGAGCAAACAGG
rnacentral:rRNA from 1 species